rnacentral:rRNA from 1 species
UACGUAGGGUGCAGGCGUUAAUCGGAAUUACUGGGCGUAAAGCGUGCGCAGGCGGUUUGUCGCGUCUGCCGUGAAAGUCCGGGCUCAACUCCGGAUCUGCGGUGGGUACGGGCAGACUAGAGUGAUGUAGGGGAGACUGGAAUUCCUGGUGUAGCGGUGAAAUGCGCAGAUAUCAGGAGGAACACCGGUGGCGAAGGCGGGUCUCUGGGCCGUAACUGACGCUGAGGAGCGAAGCGUGGGGAGCGAACAGG